UACGUAGGGGGCAAGCGUUGUCCGGAAUCAUUGGGCGUAAAGCGCGUGUAGGCGGCUUCGUAAGUCCGUUGUGAAAGUCCAGGGCUCAACCCUGGAAUGCCGAUGGAUACUGUGGAGCUAGAGUCCGGAAGAGGCGAGUGGAAUUCCUGGUGUAGCGGUGAAAUGCGCAGAUAUCAGGAGGAACACCAAUGGCGAAGGCAGCUCGCCGGGACGGUACUGACGCUGAGACGCGAAAGCGUGGGGAGCAAACAGG
rnacentral:rRNA from 1 species